AAUCGUCUUUGUAAUCUAUGGUCGUUAAACAUAGUCUAUCUGUUAUAUUUUCUUUUGUUUGAUUAUAAUUACUGUAAUGUCUUUUGGUUUUGAUUUUUUAAUCUUUAAUAUUAAAUUUUAUCUCUAUUAAAAAUACUGAAAAAAAAAAGUAUUGAACAUGGCUGAAGCCGAUUCCCAAAACGAAACCGUUGAAAUAAAAUUUAAACCAAAGAAACCCAAGAGCUUGCGUCAACGUAUAAAAGAAGAUGAGUCCGACGACGAGGAACAUAUUUUGGCGAAGUUGGAUGAAGCGAAAGAGAUCCAAAAGCUUCGAGAAAGACCUAAUGGCGUGAGUGUUGUUGCUUUAGCUACAGGUCAAAAAACUACGCUUGAAGAGGAGAUCACGUGUAAGGAUCCUUUUAAAAUUAAAGCUGGCGGUAUGGUGAAUAUGCAAGCUUUGAAAAGUGGUAAAGUAAAACAAGUUGAUGACGCCUAUGAUACUGGGAUCGGUACGCAAUUUUCUGCAGAAACAAACAAGAGAGAUGAGGAUGAAGAAAUGAUGAAAUACAUAGAGGAGCAAUUAGCGAAACGGAAAGAGGGACACAAUAACACCCAAAAGGAACUGGAUCACAAUGAUACACUAAAGUAUUUAUCACCUGAAGAAGCUGCACUACUUUCAUUACCAGAACAUUUACGAGUUUCUUCUACUCAGAGAUCAGAAGAGAUGUUGUCAAAUCAAAUGUUAAGCGGCAUCCCUGAAGUAGAUUUAGGCAUUGAUGCUAAAAUAAAAAACAUUGAGGCAACAGAAGAAGCCAAAAUGAAGUUACUUUGGGAGAGACAUAACAAAAAAGAUGGGCCAUCACAAUUUGUUCCUACAAAUAUGGCUGUCAACUUUGUGCAACAUAAUAGGUUUAAUAUAGAUAAUGAUAAUUCUAAAAAAAGGAAGAAAGAAAAACCAGAAGUUAUUAAGACUGAGACAAAUGUAAUAGAUGAUAAUGUAGAUAAAAUAGUAAAAAAGGCUAAAGGAGAAAGAGCUACAGAUGAUUACCAUUAUGAAAGAUUUAAAAAACAAUUUAGGAGAUACUAGAAUAUCAUAUUGCAUAGUUUAUAUGUAAUAAAAAUGGACUAAAACAUGCUGAAGAUUUUGCUGCCUCGUGCCAGCCAUCAUCUGUACUAUCAUCAUGUUCACACAGAUUUAUAGUCAUUAUUAUUAUCUCCAUCUUCUGGGAGGAUAUUGGAAGAAGGACAAAUGGAUGCAGGAGCCUGAAAAUGAGAAUGGUGCUGAGAAGAAAAGGGAUAAGCGCAGACAGACAUCUUUGUAUUCCACAGUCUUUCAGGAGCAGUCUGGUCAGCACAUGCAAGCUGGAGUGAAGUAUUCUCGCAGCUAUCAAUCUAGUGAAACUUUUCCCUGCUGGAACACAUGUGCGAAGUCGAACCACUGUCCGGUCACAACUGUUUGUAGACAAAGAAAUAUCACUUUUUAUUAAAUAUGUUUGUGACUUUA